GGCAAUGUAGCAAAGUGGUUACUGCGUUUGACUCGAAUGAGCUGUUCUGCAGCUGUACCCGAUAUCAAAUCCCUUCGGGGGCGUAGGUUCGAGUCCUGCCAUUGUCG